rnacentral:rRNA from 1 species
UACGUAGGGUGCGAGCGUUAAUCGGAAUUACUGGGCGUAAAGCGCGCGCAGGCGGUUUUGUAAGAUAGAUGUGAAAUCCCCGGGCUUAACCUGGGAACUGCAUUUGUGACUGCAAGACUAGAGUGCGGCAGAGGGGAGUAGAAUUCCACGUGUAGCGGUGAAAUGCGUAGAUAUGUGGAGGAAUACCGGUGGCGAAGGCGGCCCCCUGGGUCGACACUGACGCUCAUGCGCGAAAGCGUGGGGAGCAAACAGG